CUCGUAGGUGGUUUGUCGCGUUGUUCGUGAAAACCUGAGGCUUAACCUCGGGCGUGCGGGCGAUACGGGCAGACUAGAGUACUGCAGGGGAGACUGGAAUUCCUGGUGUAGCGGUGGAAUGCGCAGAUAUCAGGAGGAACACCGGUGGCGAAGGCGGGUCUCUGGGCAGUAACUGACGCUGAGGAGCGAAAGCGUGGGGAGCGAACA
rnacentral:rRNA from 1 species